rnacentral:rRNA from 1 species
AACGAACGCUGGCGGUAUGCCUAACACAUGCAAGUCGAACGACACCUUCGGGACUAGUGGCUCAUGGGUGUGUCACGUGUGGGAAUCUGCUCUUUUGUUCGGAAUUCUAGUUGGACACGGCUGCUAAUACCGGCUGAUUUCGUAUUUCCCCAGAUUUAUCGCCCAAGGAUGAGCCCGCGUUGGUUUAGCUUGUUGGUGUGGUAAGGGCGCACCAGGGCGACGAUCCUUAGCUGGUUUGAGAGGAUGAGCAGCCACACUGGGACUGAGACCCGGUGGAGACUAUUACGGGAGGGAGGAAUGGGGGAUAUAGGAAAAUGGCGGAAGGGAUGAUCGAGCAAUGGCGCGUGAGUGAUGAAGGCAGGAGGGUUGUAAAGCGGUUUUAGACGGGGUGAUAAUGACAGUACCGAAAGAAUAAGCGCCGGCUAACUUCGUG